rnacentral:lncRNA from 1 species
UCUGUCACGACCCAAUCUCGGAUCAUGACCGGCGCACAAGCUAACACUAACUCAUCAUAUCGUCAGCCCGUGCAAGCCUAAUACACUAGCUAUAAUCUAUACACUAUAACAAAGACACUUAUUUAAAAUAUACAGUUACUGAAAUUAUAGCUCGACAAGGAGGGUCCCUGGUCCUACGUAUCCCUAAACAAUUAGGGAAUCAGAGCCACGUAGUUCUCUAAGUGUUGAUUAACUAUCAACAAGGUAUAUAAAAAAAACUAUCUCAUUUCAUUCUAUACACAUAGACCACAUUAUCUCUUCG